CAACCUAACCCUAACUUGCUCAAAUUGAUCGAUUUGAAAGGCCAAAUCAGUUCCAAAUCGAAAUCCAAACACAAAUCAGUAAUCAUCUCAGUGAAGCGAUCACAAGGCAAGGUAAUUGAAUCAUCAAGCGGACAAGCCGGAGCGGACACGCGCUUGAAGGAUAAAGCUUUGAAAGGUGAUGUAGGUGGCAUUCCGGAUGGUGAUCAAACAUAAGUUACGAACCGAACACGAUACUUUUUGAAGCUUCCGCGAAUGAUGUCUUUUAGUUGUUUGUUCUAAAAACAUGUGAACUCUUAGAUGUUUAAAACUAGUAUAGUUAUGUAACUUAUACAACUUAGUUUGUUUCAA